GCCGGCUGUGGCGGCUCGGGGUGCGCCCCUGCUGACAGCGUCUUUCAGCGGGAACGCCCUGGAGAGGACGAGUGGUGACCGAACAGCUACUACGGUGGGACCAAUCCGAUGUCGCCUUGGUUCCCACGCUGUCUUCCUGGGGAGCGUUAGGUCGCCCUGGCAGCGUGUGGCUCCGCGUCUGGGGCUGAGCUGAGUGCGGUUACCCAAGGCCAGGUCCUGGUUUCCGGGAGCCACUCAUUAGAAGCCUAUCCCACCUCUGCCUGUUGACAAUAUAAAUGGCUUUGCUGUGUUGUUCAGGGGUCCUUGAAUUCACCAAGUCGCACAGGCUGCACCUGAUCUGACCCCCUUGCCUCAGCCUCCAGCUGGGAUUAAGUGUGGCUCUGCCUGUUUAUCCCUUAGUCCUGUAGCCCCCAUGUGGUGCCCCAAGCUGCCUGGCCCCUGCAAUACCCCCCCCCCCCCCCCCAA
rnacentral:lncRNA from 1 species